rnacentral:misc_RNA from 1 species
UCCGGCUUAUCACCGGCAGUCGCCUUAGAGUGCCCAACUAAAUGAUGGCAACUAAGGCCGAGGGUUGCGCUCGUUGCGGGACUUAACCCAACAUCUCACGACACGAGCUGACGGCAGCCAUGCAGCACCUGUGUGGAAGCCAGCCGAACUGAAGGGAUCAGUCGCCCGAUCCCAUACUUCCCAUGUCAAGAGCUGGUAAGGUUCUGCGCGUUGCGUCGAAUUAAACCACAUGCUCCACCGCUUGUGCGGGCCCCCGUCAAUUCCUUUGAGUUUUAACCUUGCGGCCGUACUCCCCAGGCGGAGUGCUUCAUGCGUUAGCUGCGACACCAAGGGACUGAGUCCCCCAACGUCUAGCACUCAUCGUUUACGGCGUGGACUAC